rnacentral:rRNA from 1 species
GAAUAUUGCACAAUGGGCGAAAGCCUGAUGCAGCGACGCCGCGUGAGUGAAGAAGGCCUUCGGGUCGUAAAACUCUGUCCUAAGGGACGAUAAUGACGGUACCUUAGGAGGAAGCCCCGGCUAACUACGUGCCAGCAGCCGCGGUAAUACGUAGGGGGCGAGCGUUGUCCGGAAUUACUGGGCGUAAAGGGUGCGUAGGCGGCUCAUUAAGUCAGAUGUGAAAGGCUACGGCUCAACCGUAGUAAGCAUUUGAAACUGAUGAGCUUGAGUUAAGGAGAGGAAAGUGGAAUUCCUAGUGUAGCGGUGAAAUGCGUAGAUAUUAGGAGGAAUACCAGUGGCGAAGGCGACUUUCUGGCCUUUAACUGACGCUGAGGCACGAAAGCGUGGGGAGCAAACA